UUACUGACGCUAAAGCUCGAAAGUGCGGGUAUCGAACAGGAUUAGAUACCCUGGUAGUCCACGCAGUAAACGAUGAUCACUAGCUGUAGGCGAUACACUGUCUGCGGCCGAGCGAAAGUGUUAAGUGAUCCACCUGGGGAGUACGUUCGCAAGAAUGAAACUCAAAGGAAUUGACGGGGGCCCGCACAAGCGGAGGAACAUGUGGUUUAAUUCGAUGAUACGCGAGGGACCUUACCCGGGCUCAAACGACGGUGGACCGCGGCGGAGACGCCGUUUUCAGCAAUGACCGCCGUCGAGGUGCUGCAUGGUUGUCGUCAGCUCGUGCCGUGAGGUGUUGGCUUAAGUGCCAAAACGAGCGCAACCCCUGCCGCCAGUUGCCAUCAGGUAAUGCUGGGGACUCUGGCGGGACUGCCACUGUAAGGUGCGAGGAAGGUGGGGAUGACGUCAAAUCAGCACGGCCCUUACGUCCGGGGCCACACACGUGUUACAAUGGGAGGUACAGAGAGAUGGUGUUCCGCAAGGCGCAUCAAAUCCUCAAAGCCUUCCUCAGUUCGGAUUGGGGUCUGCAACCCGACCCCAUGAAGCUGGAUUCGCUAGUAA
rnacentral:rRNA from 1 species